AGCGCAACGUGUACAACUGAAACCACUCAGGAGUGUCAGUCCAGUCAAGACGUCUGUGUUUCAUCUGUCUCAGAAGUCACCAUGAAUGACUUGAGGGUGUCCUUAUCUUUCAAAUCGUGCCUUGACCAUCGGUUCUGCCAGGCAGGCUUUUAUACUGCCAGUGUGGAAGAAGAUGUUCACAUUCGGACCCAGAUCACCUGCUGCCAGGAGGACCAGUGUAACAGUGGGGCUCUUCAGUUACCUGAUCCGGAAAAGCUGGUUGCCAAUGGGUUUCAAUGCGAA